UGGGGAAUCUUGCGCAAUGGGCGAAAGCCUGACGCAGCGACGCCGCGUGAGUGAUGAAGGCCUUCGGGUUGUAAAGCUCUGUGGGGAGAGAAGAAUAAGUGCGGGCUAAUACCCCGCAUGAUGACGGUAUCUCCUUAGCAAGCACCGGCUAACUCUGUGCCAGCAGCCGCGGUAAGACAGAGGGUGCAAACGUUGUUCGGAAUUACUGGGCGUAAAGCGAGUGUAGGCGGUUUGGUAAGUCGGAUGUGAAAGCCCCGGGCUCAACCCGGGAAGUGCAUUCGAUACUGCCAAGCUAGAGUAUCGGAGAGGUUGGUGGAAUUCUCGGUGUAGAGGUGAAAUUCGUAGAUAUCGAGAGGAACACCGGUGCGAAGGCGGCCAACUGGACGAAUACUGACGCUGAGACUCGAAAGCCAGGGGAGCAAACGGGAUUAGAUACCCUUGUAGUCCCUGAGCGGGCUGGCAAGGCGCAU
rnacentral:rRNA from 1 species